rnacentral:rRNA from 1 species
UACGAAGGGGGCUAGCGUUGUUCGGAUUUACUGGGCGUAAAGCGCACGUAGGCGGGUCGUUAAGUCAGGGGUGAAAUCCCGGAGCUCAACUCCGGAACUGCAUUCGAUACUGCCGUGCUUGAGGACUGGAGAGGAGACUGGAAUUUACGGUGUAGCGGUGAAAUGCGUAGAUAUCGUAAGGAAGACCAGUGGCGAAGGCGGGUCUCUGGACAGUUCCUGACGCUGAGGCACGAAGGUCAGGGGAGCAAACGGG